rnacentral:rRNA from 1 species
GAUGAACGCUGGCGGCGUGCCUAAUACAUGCAAGUCGAGCGAACAGAUGAGGAGCUUGCUCCUCUGACGUUAGCGGCGGACGGGCGAGUAACACGUGGAUAACCUACCUAUAAGACUGGGAUAACUUCGGGAAACCGGAGCUAAUACCGGAUAAUAUAUUGAACCGCAUGGUUCAAUAGUGAAAGACGGUUUUGCUGUCACUUAUAGAUGGAUCCGCGCCGCAUUAGCUAGUUGGUAAGGUAACGGCUUACCAAGGCAACGAUACGUAGCCGACCUGAGAGGGUGAUCGGCCACACUGGAACUGAGACACGGUCCAGACUCCUACGGGAGGCAGCAGUAGGGAAUCUUCCGCAAUGGGCGAAAGCCUGACGGAGCAACGCCGCGUGAGUGAUGAAGGUCUUCGGAUCGUAAAACUCUGUUAUUAGGGAAGAACAAAUGUGUAAGUAACUAUGCACGUCUUGACGGUACCUAAUCAGAAAGCCACGGCUAACUACGUG